rnacentral:misc_RNA from 1 species
AUUCGCCGAGCACCUAAAGAAAAAAAAUUUAAAAUCGUGAAAAAUUCAAUACAGGAAAUGGAUUAAGGCCAGCCUCUGUUUUGAUCGUGAUUCAUUGUUAUAAAAAAACAAAACAAGAAGGUGUUACCUUCAACGUAAAUCCAAUUAGAGAACAAGUGAAAAAAACAAAGAAAAAUGAAAUGUUCGAUGGCCUUUGGAUUUUCCGUGUUGCAAAGGGUUGCAACGCAAUGUUCGUUGACCUGUUCGAAUCAGAAUAUGACGGCCUUGUUAAGUUACUCCACUUCCCGCGUGUUUCCCCGCUCUUGAUUUCUGACUUUUCAAAGACUUCCGCGUCUCGUAAACGAAAUGCAGCUAUUCUCCCUACAACAUAUGGAUUAUUAUCGCGAGAUUUUUCAAAACUCAAACGGGCGAGACAUGAGGCAUCUGUAGACGCAAUAGCCCGUUUUCAUUUCUUUUUUUACUGUUCCAUUUCGGGUUCUCGUGCCAAGGCUGAAACUGUUUUCUUUUACUUUCUUGAAACAGAUGAAUUUCUUUUUUAUGUCAUACUGACAAGGAGAAUCAGUGCCAUUAAUUAUUCAGAUUCGCGUAGCCUAUUGUGGGACUACCCUUCGUUUCUCUUUGUUUUGAAACGAAAAGAAAAACAAAUCGGUCUGGAACGCAGUGUGCAUUAUUGAAAGGUGUAUAGCAACAGGUUAGCCAAACACAAAAAGGUUCACUUUCAUUUUGUAUAGCUUCCAUUUUGGUCAAUCCACAAAUGGUUGUAACCCAUUUCUGCCAUUAAAAGUUCGAGGUUUUUUUGGUAGAGCUACUACUACAACUACUACUACUACACCAUUGUGUCCACUAUCCCGACACGAGAAAAGCGUCAACCGACAGGAACGUUUGACACUCGUUCGUGUUUUCUUUGUUUUUUCGAAUCGAAAAUCAGCUGAUUGGUUUUCUACUCGACCUAAUCACCAAAUGAAGCAUAACGAAGGUGAACUGGCAUUGGCCAUGAAACGUGCCCGUUGAAUUGUGGUGCAUUUCAUUCGGGGAAGCCGAUGCAAUUUGAUGGCUAAAAUUCGAUUUCUUUUUCUUAUGGCUGCCCAAAAUGAUUCAUCUACGUAGCAGACGACAACAGGUUUUUCUAUAGUCUGCUUUUCUCUCCGUCUACUGUGGAAAGUCACUUUUCUCGUUUCUAAAAAAGAAACGUCGUUUAACCGUAUCGACUAUAAACAUAUUUCCGUUUUCGGUCAAACGAAUUUUCAAUUCUUUUUUGUUUUUCAUUUCUGUAUUUCAUGUUUCCAUUUUCAGUGUGUGAACGUGAGUCAUUUCUCUGCUACGGUCUGUGUGGAAAAAAGAAGUCAACAGAUUUCAAAAAAACAAAACAAACAAAUGGAUUUCUCUGGAAUUGCAGUGCUUGGAUCUCAUCUCGAGCUGGAAUGCAAAUGGACGGUCAGACAAGGUGUUGGCAUGUGCAUAUGCACUAAACAAAAUAGGCUUCGUGAAGGCCGUCGCAGUUUGUAUUAGGCUGGACUACUUUAUUUUUAAUUCUUUUGUCUUUCUCAUUCUGUUUUGUGUUUAUUCCUUUUCUCUUCUGCUCGAACUCUGGCAAUCGACGUAAUCAAACCGUUAUUUUGUUUAGCACUUUCGUACACUCAAGGUUGUGAAGCUUUCAAGAGUUGCAGUAAUAUCGUUAUCAUCCACUCUAAUUGCAAACUUGCAAUCGGCUCUGAUUUUCACCGACACGAACAAUUUCCCAACGUAAUUCCUAUCUGUGUACUAAAAACGAUGGAUUUCUUUAUGGUUUUUCGUUGGAGAGGGUGAAAAAAAUCAAACAAGAUACGACCGGUUUUGUUUCAAACAUUUUCAAGGAAGUUGGCAAGGUUGCAUUCCCAGGAAACUGACGAUAGAUGACGUGGAUUUUCGCCGUUACCCAAACAAAGAUAAUUCAGUCAGUGAACAGGUUAGCUCAAACGCUUUCUCUCAGCCAAAAACGAUGGGCAUCUAUCAUCUGCGAAACUGUGGCAUCACCGUUCACAUCAUCAAGCACGGAAAAACAAUUAGAAAGCCAUUCUUCGUUCUACCCAAACAAUCGGUGAACGGUACAGCCAGGGCGAUCACAAAUGACGUUGGCAAACUGAAGAAUUGCCCUUUCAUCCAGCAUAGUGUAUAUGGAACAAGUGGAAAGCACAUUGAAAAACAUCGUUCAGGAGAUGUCGAUUGGAGCUCAUCAAAACUUGUGAAGCAAUCUUCGAUUUCAGAAUACUACAAGGCUUUUUAAUCCAUUAACAUUUCAAGAUGAUUAGAAACUUCUGGUAUGGCCGUUUUGAAUAGAAGAUAAUCGUUGUUAAAUUCCCUGUAAAGUUCAUUAAAGACAUUGGGCAAUUUUUUAUUCCAAAAUGAGCUGCAAAGCGAAAUUGACGAGGAAACUGCAUAACGGUGUUUCAGCACCCAAAUUCAUAGUAUAUAAGGGUUGGUGUGGACAUUACACAGUAGCGACCAUUAUUAUGAUUAGGUAUGCAUGCGUCUAGUCAUGAAUGGCAUUUCUAGUAGCACGAUACAAGAGUCUGUAAGGAACAGAUGAAGCAAUCGCG